AGCUCCAAUAGCGUAUAUUAACAUUGCUGCAGUUAAAAAGCUCGUAGUCGAAUGUCUGGCUUGUCAAUAAAGAACUGAUCCUCAAGUAGGACAUGUGUCUAACAUUGCAAGCCAUCAUUGUGAAGAUCUGCAUCUCCUCUUGAUUGAGUGGUUGUAGGAUUUAGAUCGUUUACUGUGAGCAAAUGAGAGUGUUUAACGCAAGCUCAUGUCAUGCCCAUAUCCUCUAGCAUGGAAUAAUAAGAUAGAACUUCGGUUUUAUUUUGUUGGCUUUUAGGACCAAAGUAAUGAUCGAAAGGGAUAGUUGGGGGUGCUCGUAUUUAGAGGGGAGCGGUGAAAUGCGUUGAGCCUCUGAAGACGGACUAAUGCGAAAGCAUUCACCAAGGAUAUUUUCUUUGAUCAA
rnacentral:rRNA from 1 species